rnacentral:rRNA from 1 species
UACCUACGGGGGGCAGCAGUGGGGAAUAUUGCGCAAUGGGCGAAAGCCUGACGCAGCGACGCCGCGUGAAGGAAGAAGGCUUUCGGGUUGUAAACUUCUUUUCUCAGGGACGAAGCAAGUGACGGUACCUGAGGAAUAAGCCACGGCUAACUACGUGCCAGCAGCCGCGGUAAUACGUAGGUGGCAAGCGUUAUCCGGAUUUACUGGGUGUAAAGGGCGUGUAGGCGGGGACGCAAGUCAGAUGUGAAAACCAUGGGCUCAACCUGUGGCCUGCAUUUGAAACUGUGUUUCUUGAGUACUGGAGA